CUUCCUCGCACCAAAUCUAAGCUGCAAAGCUAGAAAAAAAAGAAAAAAAAACUCGCGUCUACCUCCACGACUAUCGAGAUUGUGCGCGCAUCCAUUCUAUUGAACCACUGCACCCCCCUUGCCCUUCCGUCUUUUUCAAACAGCUUUCCAAGCUUUCAGACUUCCAGACUCCCGCUAGUCAAAGUCAAAGGAGAUACUUUAGCCAGCGCAGUGCUUCUACCCCGCACCAGCGAUUGCUCGAAUUUCUACCUGUAGCUUCAACUGGCAUUUUCAGGAACAAUCUUCAGAGCUACCAGCCCUGCCACCUCCGCGAUCAUCCUUGCUCCGCCCACGAACGACCUCCAUCCGAACGUGCUUUCGACGGCAACCUGGUGCACGCGGUGACAGGUCUACAAACCAUUCAUACAAUAACAGCUUUAUACAUAGUACAACAUCACCAUUGAUCGCGGUCCGCCCCGAAUUGGACGCACCACUUCGCACCAUACCACAAUAUCCACUUGAGACGACCUCUUCAUCCGAUUUUUGCCCCGGGCUAUUUACCUGGGGACUGGGUCAGGGAUUCCACGCUCCGAUUUAGUGAAGCGCGUCACAGCCGACUACAGACCCCGGCUGCCUCCAAAGUUUCGUUGAAAGGUAAGACACUGACCUGAAUGGUCACAGAGCAUUUACUUUGAGCAUUUGUUUUUCUUCAACCCAAAAAUCGG